rnacentral:rRNA from 1 species
GAGUUUGAUCGUGGCUCAGAUUGAACGCUGGCGGCAUGCUUUACACAUGCAAGUCGAACGGCAGCGCGGGCUUCGGCCUGGCGGCGAGUGGCGAACGGGUGAGUAAUAUAUCGGAACGUACCCAAGAGUGGGGGGAUAACGUAGCGAAAGUUACGCUAAUACCGCAUACGAUCUAAGGAUGAAAGCAGGGGAUCGCAAGACCUUGUGCUCCUGGAGCGGCCGAUAUCUGAUUAGCUAGUUGGUGAGGUAAAGGCUCACCAAGGCAACGAUCAGUAGCUGGUCUGAGAGAACGACCAGCCACACUGGAACUGAGACACGGUCCAGACUCCUACGGGAGGCAGCAGUGGGGAAUUUUGGACAAUGGGGGCAACCCUGAUCCAGCAAUGCCGCGUGAGUGGAGAAGGCCUUC